rnacentral:rRNA from 1 species
AACGAACGCUGGCGGCAUGCCUAACACAUGCAAGUCGAACGAGACCUUCGGGUCUAGUGGCGCACGGGUGCGUAACGCGUGGGAACCUGCCCUUAGGUUCGGAAUAACUCCCCGAAAGGGGUGCUAAUACCGGAUAAUGUCUUCGGACCAAAGAUUUAUCGCCUUUGGAUGGGCCCGCGUUGGAUUAGCUAGUUGGUAGGGUAAAAGCCUACCAAGGCGACGAUCCAUAGCUGGUCUGAGAGGAUGAUCAGCCACACUGGGACUGAGACACGGCCCAGACUCCUACGGGAGGCAGCAGUGGGGAAUAUUGGACAGUGGGCGAAAGCCUGAUCCAGCAUUGCCGCGUGAGUGAUGAGGCCCUUGGGGUUGAAAAGCUUUUUUCCCCGGGAUGAUAAUGACAGUCCGGGGAAAAAAAGCUCCGGCUAACUCCGUG